UACGAAGGGGGCUAGCGUUGCUCGGAAUCACUGGGCGUAAAGGGUGCGUAGGCGGGUCUUUAAGUCAGGGGUGAAAUCCUGGAGCUCAACUCCAGAACUGCCUUUGAUACUGAAGAUCUUGAGUUCGGGAGAGGUGAGUGGAACUGCGAGUGUAGAGGUGAAAUUCGUAGAUAUUCGCAAGAACACCAGUGGCGAAGGCGGCUUACUGGCUCAUUUCUGACGCUGAGGUGCGAAAGCGUGGGGAGCAAACAGG
rnacentral:rRNA from 1 species